rnacentral:rRNA from 1 species
GACGAACGCUGGCGGCGUGCUUAACACAUGCAAGUCGAACGGAAAGGCCCUGCUUUUGUGGGGUGCUCGAGUGGCGAACGGGUGAGUAACACGUGAGUAACCUGCCCUUGACUUUGGGAUAACUUCAGGAAACUGGGGCUAAUACCGGAUAGGAGCUCCUGCUGCAUGGUGGGGGUUGGAAAGUUUCGGCGGUUGGGGAUGGACUCGCGGCUUAUCAGCUUGUUGGUGGGGUAGUGGCUUACCAAGGCUUUGACGGGUAGCCGGCCUGAGAGGGUGACCGGCCACAUUGGGACUGAGAUACGGCGCAGACUCCUACGGGAGGCAGCAGUGGGGAAUAUUGCACAAUGGGCGGAAGCCUGAGGCAGCAACGCCGCGUGCGUGAUGACGGCCUUCGGGUUGUAAACCGCUUUCGCCUGUGACGAAGCGUGAGUGACGGUAAUGGGUAAAGAAGCACCGGCUAACUACGUG